rnacentral:rRNA from 1 species
GACGAACGCUGGCGGCGUGCUUAACACAUGCAAGUCGAACGGAAAGGCCCUGCUUGCAGGGUACUCGAGUGGCGAACGGUUGAGUAACACGUUGGUGAUCUGCCCUGCACUUCGGGAUAAGCCUGGGAAACUGGUUCUAAUACCGGAUAGGAGCCAUUUUUAGUUUGAUGGUUGGAAAGUUUUUUCGGUGUAGGAUUAGCUCGCGGCCUAUCAGCUUGUUGGUGGGGUAAUGGCCUAACAAGGCGGAGACGGGUAGCCGGCCUGAGAGGGUGGACGGCCACAUUGGGACUGGGAUAGGGCCCAGACCCCUACGGGAGGGAGAAGUGGGGGAUAUGAAAAAAUGGGAGCAAGCCUGAGGCAGAGCCGGCGCGUGGGGGAUGACGGCCAUCGGGUUGGAAACUCCUUUCGCUAGGGACGAAGCUGUUUGUGACGGUACCUAGAUAAGAAGCACCGGCUAACUACGUG